UACGGGGGGGGCAAGCGUUGUUCGGAAUUACUGGGCGUAAAGGGCUCGUAGGCGGCCAACUAAGUCGGAUGUGAAAUCCCCAGGCUCAACUUGGGAACUGCAUCCGAUACUGGAUGGCUUGAAUUCGGGAGAGGGAUGCAGAAUUCCAGGUGUAGCGGUGAAAUGCGUAGAUAUCUGGAGGAAUACCGGUGGCGAAGGCGGCAUCCUGGACCAUAACUGACGCUGAGGCGCGAAAGCUAGGGGAGCAAACGGG
rnacentral:rRNA from 1 species